UGUGAGAUUUGACCUUUGUAGGCUGGUGGCGGCUGUGCAAUCUCUAGCUCCACCCACUCCCUCCAAAAGCUUUGUCCUCUGACAGCUCUGCGAAGGUUUUAGCUGAGUAUUUGUGAGCACGUAUUUCUUUUGCAGUAUUUUUAAAAAUCCUCUUGAUCUGAGGCAACUUCGCUGGCUUCCUCCCCAUUCCCUUGGGCAGGUUGAGAGUGUUGGUUCCUGGCCUGACCUCAGAAACUCAGAGAAGCACAGGAUGGGCAUAAACUACUUUAUCCAAAAGGCAGAACUUUGCAAACACAGUCGUAUCUGCUGUGUCUUUUUUGAUGUAAGUAGGAAUGAUGAGUAGGGUGAAGUCACAGGUAAACAACCCAAAACGAAUUUCCAUGCCCUCCCCACGGAUCCUAAAGCAGGGACUGGAGAUGGGGAGAGAGGCUAGAUGUACUUGGAACAAAAUUCACCUUGUAUUUAUUACCUGGGCGCUGGUGUUUUUUGAAAAAAGCAAACAAGAUAACCAUAUUAGUCUGAUGCUGAGACUAUGCCCUAUCUGUAAGAAUCCUUGGGCUGGGCGCGGUGGCUCACCCUUGUAAUCCCAACACUUGGAGGCCAAGGUGGGCGGAUCACCUGAGGUCAGGAGUUCGAGACCAGCAUGGCCAACAUGGUGAAACCCCGUCUCUACUAAACAUACAAAAAUUAGCUGGGUGUGGUGGUGGGCGCCUGUAAUCCCAGCUACUCAGGAGGCUGAGGCACGAGAAUCCCUUGAACCUAGGAGGCGGAGGUUGCAGCGAGCUGAGAUGUCGCCACUGCACUCCAGCCUGGGCGACAGAGCGAGACUCCGUCUCAAAAGAAAAGAAAAGAAAAGAAAAAAAGGCAGGGCACAGUGGCUCACGCCUGUAAUCCUAGCACUUUGGGAGGCCGAGGCAGGCAGAUCGCUUGAGGUCAGGAAUUCCAGACCAGCCUGGCCAACAUGGUGAAAACCUGUCUCUACUAAAAAUACAAAAAUUAGCUGGGUAUGGUGGCGCACGCCUGUAAUCCGAGCUACUAGGGAGGCUGAGACAGGAGAAUCGCUUGUACCUGGGAGGUGGAGGUUGCAAUGAGCUGAGAUCGUGCCAUUGCACUCCAGCAGCCUGGACAACAGAGCAAUACUUGGUCUAAAAAAAAAAAAAAGAAAGAAAUGCAACGUAGGUCUCUCACGAAAUUAGCCCAAAUCUUCAGCCAUCUUCUACAGGCUGUGAAACCAGGAGAGGAAUUGAGUCCAUCUUACCUUGACCUCCCAGGCAGGGAGCGGACCAGGUAAUUUUUGGGUGACAAUACAACUAUUCUGUUAAUGCACCUUUUUCUUGAGGUAAGUUCUAAUGUGAUCCGUUUUGGUUACAGCUUUCUAUAACAGAAUAUUUUAUUCUUUCAUCUUUAAUGUUUCUCUAGUUUUCUCUUUUAGGAUUUAGAGAUCAUUCAGUCUCAUCUCAAAUAUUUCAAUUUCCAUGUGGUUCUUUCAUAAACAUUUAUCCACAGUGAGCCUGCCCUGCAUUCUUUGGGUGUGGCUGACAGUUGCAGCCACCCUCAGGUCUGCGGGGGUGGGUGUGUUGCCCCUGAACUGCAAUAGCAGAAUUUCUCCCUAGCCUGGCAGGGGAGUGCAAUCGUGGACUUGCUUUUCCACCCGCUGGGGUUGCAUUUCAUAGGUGCCGAGUGCCUGGGGGGCCCAGGCCUUUUCACAUGAGGGUUUUCAGCCCAGAUGUCCCUCCUGCUCUAGGGGAACCCUUCACAUCAGUCAGGUGACUUGCUGGACUGGUAGAGCCUCUGCCAUCAGCCUCUGAUGCAAAACCUUUUCUCAGGUGUCUGUGCGGUCCAUGGAGACCCGAGUUCCCAGGUUUGGGAGGGAUGCCACUUUCCUUAGGAAGAACAGCAAUGUAUGUCGUCCUUCCCAUCCAUGCAGAUGGGACAGGGCUCUCAGGAAAUCUGCCAUUAGCAUCGCCCUAGAAGAUGCACAGGCAGAGGCAGCUGCUGGGCACAGGCACUUGGGGAAGACAGGAGCCAUGACGCCACGCCACCUGUUGGUACCCAAAGGAAGUGGCUCUUUUGGCUGCUUGGCACCAUUCUUAUGACCCUUCCAUUUUGUUUCUAGUCUCAGAAGGGGUGGAGAAAGUCAUCCUUCCUAAAUGGUGUUGACUCUCAGACAUCUGACCGUGCCAGGAGAAUGGCUGUGCAAGGCGGCAGCCCAGGCCCGGGCAGGUGGCGGCCAGGAGUUGGGACCACAGAGGGCACUAGCAAGAGCAGCAGCUGCUCCGAGAUGCUUUGGCACAAGUCAGGAUACGUAUUUUGUAGUUUUCUCUUGUUUUUUAUUUUUCUGAGGUGGAGUCUCACUCUGUCGCCCAGGCUGGAGUGCAGUGGUGCAAUCUCAGCUCACUGCAAGCUCCGCCUCCCGGGUUCAAGCGAUUAUCGUGUCUCGGCCUCCAGAGUAGCUGGGAUCACAGGUGCACGCCACCACACCCAGCUGAUUUUUGUAUUUUUAGUAGAGAUGGGGUUUCGCCAUGUUUGGUCUUGAACUCUUGGCCUCAGGUGAUCUGCCCCCCUCAGCCUCCCAGAGUGCAAGGAUUACAGGCGUGAGCCACCGCACCCCACCUCCCGGCCUUUUCUCUUGUUUCAUUUUGGUAAACUAAAUUAGUUUAAUACCUCUACCCCAUCGGUGGUUGGAAUUCCCCACCUCAAUCAUUUUGGGGGCUCUCUGCCUCCUUUGAAUAGGACAGAUCUCCAGGGGUUUACCCAGGCUCCGAAGAGCCACUCCAGGCAGCCGGCUGUUUGGGGAGGUGCACCCUGGUCUUCUAGUCUGCGGAUUCCCUGCAUCGCUCCCCUGGUACUGCUCUCAAGCUCAAGGGUCACCUCAGCCAGAUGUGCCCUAGGCUGGCAGAGGUCCUUCCCCUAAAUGCAGCUGGGCAGGAUGCCACCCUUUCUACAAUAAGUUCGGUCCCAGGGAUUCCCCCAACACACACACACAUACAUUCUCUCUUACUCACAUCCUCACACACACUCACACACCCCACCACACUCUUUUUAUGACCAACGGUGACCAGGCCAAGAGCAGGAUGAGGUGAUGGAGAAUACCUUGGCCUGGGGCAUCGGAGGAAACUCUUGCGAGGAUGUGCUACCUCCGUUGAAAGUGGGAAGAUGAGAGACCGGCUGUAAGAGGAGCAAGGGAAGGAGGUUCUGGAAUGAGAGAACAGCACGAACAAAAUGCCCGAGACAGGAGCGAGCUUGGCACCUUCAAGAAAAUAAAGAGGAGAAUCACUGAACCUGGCACGUGGAGGUUGCAAUGAGCUGAGAUCGCGCCACUGCACUCCAGCCUGCGAGACAGAGCGAGACUCCAUCUCAAAAAAAAAAAAAAAAAAAAAAAGGAAAGAAAAGGAGGCCAUUGGGAUGGCUGAGGCUGGAAGGGUGGACCAGGUGCCCCACAGGCAAGAGGUCCCAACUAUAGAUGAAGCACGCAGGCUACAGACAGGUGAGUGGUGCCUCGGGUGAGAGGCAAGUUUGUCUCCAUAGGUCAUCCUGCUACACGGAAUUCUCCAGAAUCCCCUGCAAAGGUGUAGAUGGGCUGGGUGCAGUAGCUCAUGCCUCUAAUCCCAGCACUUUGGGAGGUCGAGUCGGGCGGAUCACCUUGAGGUCAGAAGUUCAAGACCAGCCUGACUAACAUGGUGAAACCCUGUCUCAACUAGAAUACAAAAAUUAGCUGGGCAUGGUGGCAUUUGCCUGUAGUCCCAUCUACUCAGGAGGCUGAGGCAGGAGAAUUGCUUGAACCCGGGAGGUGGAGGUUGCAGUGAGCCGAGAUCGCGCCACCGCACUCCAGCCUUGGUGACAGAGCGAGACUCUGUCUCAAAAAAAAAAAAAAAAAAAAAGGUG
rnacentral:lncRNA from 10 species